rnacentral:rRNA from 1 species
AUGGAGCCGAUCAAACCCACGCCCACCCUAACAAGCAAGAUCUGCAUCCAACACGAACCCGCCGACGGCGGAGAUGCCGCGAGCGGAACCAUCGGCGGCCUCCCUUUCCACCUCACGGAGGAGAUCCUCCGCUGCGUCAGCCCGCUCGAUUCGGUGCGCCUCGCCACCGUUUGCAGGUCCUGGGCGGCGACCAUCUCCGAGCGGCUAGCGAGACCCACCCCGCACCUGUUCGCACUCGAGGUCCUCCACGAGCACCCCCGCGGGGCGAUCUUCUCCGUGCCGGUCGAUGACAACGAGGAGGACUCGCCAGCGCCGGCCAUGCCGGCCAUGGGCUGGCACGCGGAAUGUUUCGAGCUGUGUGGCGCCUCUUCCAGCGGCAGCCUCUCCUUCGUGAACGGCAGCCAUGUCCUCCUCGUAAACCCUGUCACCGGCGCGUCCGGGAGCGUUCAGAUUUCUGCGAGCAUCUCUCGGACCGGACCUAAGCUUUGCACCGGCGCCGAGGCGUUCUUCAUUACUGAGUUCCAUAGGGGUGUCUCUCUCUGGUGGUGGUGCUCGGACGAGUGGAGCGAGCAGAAGCUGCUUCUGCCUCAAGGGUUCGAAAUCUACCAUGCCAUUGCUCUGUCGGCCUACAGCGGCGGUGUCUUGUAUGCUCUGGAAUUCUCUGGUUUGGUGUACACCAUGGAUACCCAGGCACCGCUGCCUUGGCGCCUGACAAGGCUCCGUGCGCCGAGCAUUCUCGAGCAGUACUCCCCAAUCUUCGGGUACCGCUUCAUUCGGAACUGCCACCUGCUCGAGUCAGAAGACGAGGUCAUGUUUGUUGGUCCUGUGUUCGCAACAAAAGAGCCCGGAUGCCCCAAAUCCAUCUGUGGCUUCGAGGUGUACAGGCUGGAUGUUCAUGGGGCACGGUGGGUGAAGGUGGAGAGGCUCGCCGGCGAACAGGCGCUUUUCGUGAGCGAUCAAUCAUCGUUCGCGCUGCAUGCUUCAGAGGUGCCAGGGUGCAUGAGCAACUGCAUCUACUUUGUAGGUGAUGUUGACGAGUGCUCAUUCAGCACUUGGGGCAUCUACUCCAUGGUGGAGCGGAAGGUGCUGUUUCAGAGCCCUGUUGGCGGUUUGCCGGGGAAGUACAAAGCUGCCCGGUGGUUCUUCCCUGGUGUUGUGAUGCCACUUGCGCGACAAUGUACAAACUUGGGACAAAGGAGAAAAAUCAAUGGCCUUUAG